UAAAAAUUAAAUUAUUUACAAAGUUAAAAAUCAAAUUAUUUACAAUACAAUCCACCAAUCAUUUACAAACAUUAAAAAUCAAAUCAAAUUAUUUACAAUACAACCCACCAAUCAUUUAAUAUACAAUCAACCAACCACCAUAAGAAUACAAACAUUAAAAAUCAAAUUAUUUACAAAAUUUAUCAAGGUUCCAAAUCCAAACUAUAAAACAUACAAAAGACUAAAAACUACAACUCAUCAUCCACAUCUUCAUUCCCAGCCUCACCCAUUCUAUUAUCAAUAUUUCGUUGAUAUAUCCAGCUAUAAUGAGGUUCCAUCUACACAAUCAAACAUGUUCAAGUAAUUAGUUCAAGUCACAAAAGUUCACAUUUCAAAUACCUACACUGAAAUAUUUUCAAGUCAUUAAUUCACUUCACAAGUUAUCAAACUAAACUAAAUUCAAAAUGAAAAGUUCACGUUUCAAGUACCUACACUUAAACAUUUUGAAGUCACUAAUUUACUUCUCAAGUAACCACACUUUACUAAAAUCAAAAUGCAAGUUCACAUUUCAAGUACCUAAAUUCAAAACAAAAGUCGCUAAUUCAUAAUUCAAGUAACUACACUUAAAUAUUUCAAGUCACUGAUUCACUUCACAAGUUACCAAAGUAAAAUAAAUUCAAAAUGAAAAGUUCACAUUUCAAGUACCUACACCUAAAUAUUUUCACGUCACUAAGUCACUUCUCAAGUGACCACACUAAACUAUAUUCAAAACACAAGUCCACCUUUCAAGUAACUACACUUAAACAUUUUCGACUCAGUAAUGCACUUCUCAAGAGACCACACAACUAAAUUCAAAACACAAGUCCACAUUUCAAGUACCUACACUUAAACAUUUUCAAGUACUUAUUCACUUCUCAAGUGACUACACUUAACUAAAUUCAAAACACAAGUCCACAUUUCAAGUACCUACACAUGCAUUUUCAAGUCACUAACUCAAUUCUCAAGUGACCACACUUAACUAAAUUCAAAACACAAGUCCAUAUUUCAAGUACCUACACUUAAACAUUUUCAAGUACUUAUUCAGUUCUCAAGUGACCACACUUAACUAAAUUCAAAACAUAAGUCCAUAUUUCAAGUACCUACACUUAUGCAUUUUCAAGUCACUAACUCACUUCUCAAGUGACCACGCUUAACUAAAUUCAAAGAACAAGUUCACAUUUCAAGUACCUACACUUAUGCAUUUUCAAGUCACUAACUCACUUCUCAAGUGACCACGCUUAACUAAAUUCAAAACACAAGUUCACAUUUCAAGUACCUACACUUAAACAUUUUCAAGUCACUAAUUCACUUCUCAAGUGGUCACACUUAACUAAAUUCAAAACACAAGUCCACGUUUCAAGUACCUACACUUAUGCAUUUUCAAGUCACUAACUCACUUCUCAAGUGAUCACGCUUAACUAAAUUCAAAACACAAGUUCAUAAUUCAAGUAACUACACCUAAAAAUUUCAAGUCACUAAUUCACUUCACAAGUGACCACACUUAACUAAAUUUAAAACACAAGUCCACGUUUCAAGUACCUACACUUAUGCAUUUUCAAGUACUUAUUUACUUCUCAAGUGACCACACUUAACUAAAUUCAAAGUACAAGUCCACAUUUCAAGUACCUUAAAUAAAAAAAAUUUCCUUUAAAGUCCCUACACUUAAUUUAACUAAAUUCAAAGUACAAGUCCACAUUUCAAGUACCUUAAAUAAAAAAAAAUUUUCUUUAAAGUCCCUACACUUAAUUUAACUAAAUUCAAAGUACAAGUCCACAUUUCAAGUACCUUAAAUAAAAAAAAUCCCUUUAAAGUCCCUACACUUAACCAUUUUCAAGUGACCAAGUCACCAACCAAACCACAUUCAAAAUACAAAAUCCCCUUUAAAGUCCCUACACUUAAUCAGUUUCAAGUCAUGUACUAGCAUUUCAAGUCACUAAACUAUUUUCAAUUAACUAAUUCACAUUUUCAAGUCACUAUACUUAACCAUUUUCAAAUAACUACAUUUAACCAUUUUCAAGUCACUAGUACACAUUUUAAGUCACUACACUAACUAUUUUCAAAUAACUAAUUCACAUUGCAAAUCACUAUACGUAUCCACUUUCAAGUAACUAAACCUAACCAUUUUCAAGUCACUAGUACACAUUUUGAUACAAGAAUGACCAACGACCAAGAACAUACCAAAACAUACAUCCAAAACAGUCCACAAGUUCAAGAGAAUCGAGGACCCUAUGAAUGACCACUCUCGGAUUCACAAACAAUAACAAGACCACAAUGUAGUGAAGUGUUUAACACCUAUUUUCCAGCCAACAAUCCAAACUAGAUUAUCAACACAAGACAAAAACAACACUAUAACAACAACAAGACAGUCACGAGUACAUUAACAACAACAAGAAUCCGACGAAUACAACAAGAUACAAGAUAAAUAGUUAGACCUUGGUUGGAAUUAUCUUAGCCCUCCAUUAACACAUAACCCAACUAUACAUAAUACCCAUAUAACAACAGUAAAAAUUAUCUAGGCUAAUAGAGAGCCAACAAUUAAUCAAGCAUGUUUUGAAAUCCAACAACAAAUAUGACGUUUAACAAGCAAUAAAAAAAUAUGAUGUCUAACAACCAGUCUCGCCGGUGGCUGUCAUUACUAGCAUGAAUGGAGGGAGCUGGCGGCGAUGGCUUGAGGGAUUUCGCCGGUGAGCGUCGUUGGGUGGCUGUUCUCGCCGGUGUCAAUGGAGAAGAGGCGACGGCGAGGGAAGAGUGAGGGAUGUGGUGGCUACAUUAUUGGUUGUUCGCAGGAGAAGGAAAGGACGGUGGCGGCGGGCGGGUAACUGGUGGUUCUUGUUGGAGAGAGAGUGGAGGAAAAAAAGAGAAAGGGGAAGGAGAUGGAAGAAAAUAUGGUUGUUAUGGGAAAUUAGGGUUAGGUUUGGUUUAAAAGGAAAGAAAAUGAAAAUGUGAUCUUGACCGUUGGAUCGAUUUUGAUCGACGGCUGAGUUUAGAAUAAUUUAAAAAUGGGUUAAAAAUUAAAAUUAGUGUCAAAUUGGCUGAAAUUGACAUUAAUUGAAUACAAAUUGGCUAUAAUUUAAAUACAUAAGUGAAUAAAUUGAAAUCGGCUGCUAUUAUAAUAAUGACGAAAGAAAAACAUAAUGAGACAUUGAUGUAAAAAUUAAUGUUACGAAAUAAUAAUAAUAAUAAUAAUAAUAAUAAUAAUAAUAAUAUUUUUGUAAAUUGUAAGUGUGCCUAUUUAUAAAAACAAUAAUUUAAUAAAUGUUAAUAAAAUUAUGUAAAAUAUCGUAUUUGAGUUAGUAAAUUGUAAAAAUGAUACUAAAAGUAAAAUAAAAUAUAUUGUAUGUUUUUUAAAUCAUGAAUGUGACACGUCAAUAUCUUUUUGAUACAAGAAUAAUGUGUAAAAAAUACUAAUGUUUGAAAUUAAUAAUUUUUUAUAAAACAACAACCUAAAAGGAGUAUCUAACGGUCAAAAUUGGAUAUCAAAUACAUACUAUAAACAUCACUUGCAUACACGAUUUUACGAUCCCUUAAUACUAUAUAACGUAUUUCACAUAUAAUCAGAUGAAUUAUCGUUAGAUUAUCUUAUGUCAUUAAUAUACCUUCACUAUAUAAUAUGUAUGUACAUAUACAUACACACGCAUAUACGCACCAUCGACUAUAUUAAGUUCUAAAUACAUACUAUAUACAUCACAUACAUACAAGAAUAUAUGAUCCAAUAAUAUAAUGUGAUGUAUUUCACAUACAUACUCUGAUAAGUGAUCGGUUAAUUUGAUUAGCUUAUAUUAAUAUAACUUCAACGUACAGUAUAUAUUAUUACUUCUGUCGUUUUAGAUCAAGCUAUUCAAUAUGUUUGGAUAGAUUCUAAUAGUUUUUUACUACAUCGUUCAUUAAUCGAUCACUAUAUAUAUAUAUAUAAAGAUAUUUAUAUAUAUGAACUCUUGAAUGCGUAUUAUAUACAUCACAUCCACAAGUAUAUUACCUUAUAAUAGAACACGUUCAUUAUAUUCUGGUGAAUUAUCGAUUAUAUAUUAUAUUAUUAUGACUACAAAUACAUACCAUAAACAUCAAAUUUCAAAUAUGUACUAUAUAAACAUCAGUUUUCAGCUUUCAAAUACGUACUAUAAACAUCAUUUUUCAAUUAUAUGUCCCAACGGUAUGACAUAUAUAUAUACAUAUUCAUUAUACAAAGACUAUGCAUGUUUAACGUCAUUUAAUGUGUAUAUAAAGGAAAUAUUUAUUUUAUAUAUUUAAACAUAAGUAAAAGAUAAAGAUUACGUUUAAAUAUACACAUAUUCAUUAUACAGAAAUUAUGCAUGUUUAACGUCAUUUAAUGUAAGGGUCAAUCAAAAGCAGCCUCUCUACUUCCUCAGAGGUAGUGGUAUGGAUUACAUACAUUUUACCCUCCCCAGACCUCACUUUGUGGAAAUAUACUGGAUCUAUUGUUGUUCUAACGUCAUUUAAUGUAUAUAUAAAGGAAAAUAUUUAUUUCAUAUAUUAAAACAUAAGUAAAAGAUUACGUUUAACGUGAUUUAUAUAUUAUAUUUGAUAUAUUUUUUAGUGUAAGUUUUUCACAAAAUCUAAGAUUUAUUGAUUUUAUUAUUAUUAUAUUGUUUAUUGACUACGUGUAAUCAAUAUAAUUUUAAAAAAUAAUAUAUUAGAUUAUAUAUAUAUUCUAAUAUAUUAAUUUUACUACUAAUAAUAAUUAGAUUACAUAAAGUAAAUAUUAGAUUAUAUAAUUAUUUACUUUUUUUUUUAAUUCCAAAACCGACCACAAGUGGUCAGCUUUUAAAAUUAUUUUUUUAUUUUAAUGAAAAACCGACCACAUGUGAUCGAUUUUUAAUUAUUAUUUUUUUAUUAUUUUAAUUAAAAACCGACCAUAUGUGAUCAUUUUUUAAAAUUAAUUAUUUUUUAUUUUUCAUUAAAAACCGACCACAAGUAGUCGAUUUUUAAAAUUAUUUUUCUUUUUAUUUUAUUUAAAAAUCGACCACAUAUGGUCGAUUUUUUAAAUUAAUUUCUUUUUUUUAAUUUCAUUAAAAACCGACCACAAGUGGUCGAUUUUUUUUUUAAUUCUUUAUUUUUGUUAAAAACCGACCACAUGUGGUCGAUUUUUUUUUAAAUAUAUAUAUUUUGUUAAAAAAAAUUAUAAACCGACUACUCGUGGUCGGUUUUUUUUUAAUUAUUUUUUUUAAAACCGACCACACGUGGUCGGUUUUUAAAAGUAUUUUUUAAUUAUAAUUAUUUAAAGAAAACUGACCACAAAUGGUCGAUUUUGUUAUUUUUUAUUAAUUUUUAUUUGUAAAAGAAAUAAUAAUUAAUAUAAAACUUAUUGAAAUGAUUAUUUUGAUAUUUUAAAAUAUAAAAGCGACCACAUCUUACAAAAAAAUAUUUUAAAAAAAAAAUUAAAAAACCGAUCACAUGUGGUCGUUUUUUUCCGAUCACAUUUUGUGGUCGGUUUUUGCGAUUAUUUUAGUAGUGUAUAUGAUUAAUAAAAGUAAUUUAACAAAAUAAUAUUUACUUAACACUUUACUAAGGAAUUGCAUUAUGAACUACAAGGGAAUUAUGACCACAAAGAGAAAACGCAAUGAUAAUAAGAUAUUCUUACAAAGCAUCUAAUGGAUUAGAUUGGUAUUACAUGGAUAAUUCAAAGAAAACACCAAAAUUAGUAAAUAUUAUAAUGGAUGACACCAUUCUUUUUAUAUACUACUAUACUUAUAUGAUUGGAUUCUAUAAAAAGAAAAGUAAUGUUAAGGAAGAUCUGAUACUAUAUAUUAUCCCAUAUAUAUGAUAUAUAUAUAGAUUUCAAGAGUGAACAUAAUAAUAGUCUAUCUUCUUUUUCUAUCCUAUUGCUAUUUAAUUAUCUUCUAACUCGAAUCCCAAACAAAAUUUGCUAAAUUUUCCACGAAUUUAUAAGGUCUAAAUUCAACGAAUCUCAAAUUAUUCAUCUAUGAUCUUGCAAAAAUCUUUUUUUAAACCACUAGUGCAUUGAAUUCCAACUCAUUUUAAAAGUUGCUAGAUACUUUUGAUAUAGCUCAACUUGAGUUUUAGGAUUAUAUUGAGAACUUGAGAUAGCAUGUUGAAAUAUCAGUAACGACAAAAAAUAUUAGGUGAUUUUUUUUUUUAUGUCUUAACUUUGGUGUACAAAGUUACUUGAUAUCUGUUGUUGGUGAGAGGUGGUAUGUAAACUUGAGAUAUCAAGUUGAAAUAUACAAAAAAAUAUUAGGUGAUCUUUUUUAUGUCUUAACUUAGGUGUACAGAGUUACUUGAUAUCUGUUGUUGGUGAGAGGUGAUAUGUAUCUUGUGGAUUUAGUUCGAGGACGAAGUAGCUUGAACAAACCGCCGAGUAGUUUGUCCUUUUUAUAUUUUUUGAACCUUCUUGAUGAAAAUGUUAGUUCUGCCUCUAAAUUUAUUGAGGUGCGUGAAAAUUGAUCCGAAAAGCAAAGUUACCAAAAAAAAAAUAGGAUAUUGAAAUAAUGUAAUUUGGAUAUUCCCCCUUUCACAUUCUUAUCAUAAGCUUAAAAGAAUUUUUAGAAGUCAAUUAUUCCAUAUAGAGUAAUCCCUUGGGAUUUUAAAAAGGUCUAAUUAUCCAAGAAAUUUUGGAGGAACAAGUAAAUCCUCAAAAGCUAAAUGAUAAUGAUUAUCUUUUUAUAACUAGAUCUUCAUAUCUUCUAAUUCUACACUUUAUAUCAUAAUUUAUUUACUUUAUCUUUUUGGUUUGAAGUCAUCUAUAGGAACAGGAAAAGGGUGAUUUAACUUUGGGGAUGGUGGAUGGGAAGGGAAUUGUGGCAUUCCCCCAAAUUGAUGGAAUAAAACCUUUAACCUCAUAAAACAUCAGUCUUUGAUAAAAAAAAAAUUAAUAUCCACAACAAAUUAACACACUCAAUCCACAAUAACAAAAAUAUAAUCGAUACCAACAAAUGCAAACAACCCAACAAACACAAAAACAAAACAUCGAUUUUUUAAACAUAAAAAGUCAAUCUUUAAUUAGCUAAACUUUAAAAAAAUACUUUUUUUCUCAAACGAACGAGAGGAAAUUAAAAGAAAAAAAUACCGGCGAAUCAAUUCAUAGUUGGGCCAGCUAUGGUCGGUGGCAGUGACGAUAGUUGAGGCGGUGGGAGGAGGGAGAGGACAGUUGUGACUGGGGUUGGGGAAGUGGAUUAACUAAAGAGAAAAUAUGUUAGGGAAUUGAUAGGCACCGUCUAAUCAGAAGGUGUGAAUGACUGAGAUUUAAAUUAUGAUUUGGGCCGGGUUGAGGGCUAUUGAAUUGAGUUAGUUCA
rnacentral:lncRNA from 1 species